AUCAUCAUCAUUCAGCAGCUUCAGAGGAAGAAAACUGGAAACAAACCAGAACCACAGGUGAGUCUGAACCAGAACCAGCAGGACUCUUCUUCUGGAUUCUUUUAUUGCUGAUUGUCUGAUGAAAGUCCAGAUGGCUCCUGGUUCUGAUCCGUCCUUAAAAAACAAACUUUAACAUUCAGGGUUUUAGAGAUUUGGG